ACACUCACCACUUUGAUUCCAACAGCGAAGUCGAAGUCGUGGUCAGGAGUAAGACUGAGCUGGGUAGAGAUAGUAAGCCAACAUGAUGUGUCUUCUAGGGGCAUGAGAGAUGGAGAAAGAAAGCCUCAGCUACCAUGAGACUUUGUUCAGUGCUAUGAUCUGAAUGUGUUUCUGCCAAAUUCCUAUGCUGAAAUCCUAACUCCCAAGAAGAUGGUACUACAAGAUGAUUGGAAGGUGAUUAGGUCAUGAAGGCUCUGCCCUUAUGGGAUUAGUGCCCUCAUAAAAGGGGCACCAGAGAGCUAACUGCCUUACCCUUUCUCCAUGUGAGGACGGAAUGAGAGGGCGCCCUCAUCCAAACACUGAAUCUGCUGGUGCCUUGAUUUUGGACUCUACAGCCUUCAGAACUGUGAUAAAUAAAUUUCUGUUUUUUAUAAAUGACUCCAUCUAUAGUAUUUUGUUAUAGCAGCUUGAAAGGACAAAGACGUUCAGUUUAAAUCAUGAAUACAGACCCAUUUGUACCAAAAAUUAACACAGCAACAAACCUUUACUGAACACCUAUGAUGGGCCAGCUUUUGGGGACAUAGCAGUUAAUAAAAUAGAAAACCCCCCAACCCCUAUGGAGCUUACAUUCUACCAGGCAGAUUCAGUGUAUUAAUCUCUAAUGUGCCAGUUCACUAUCUCCUUCCAUCUGAGUCUUAAAAGUAUUUUUUUUUUCUUUGAGACUGAGUCUCCCUCUAUUGCCCAGGCUAGAGUGCAGUGGUGCAAUCUCAGCUCACUGCAACCUCUCCGCCUCUCAGGUUCAAGCAAUUCUCAUGCCUCAGCCUCCCGAGUAGCUGGGAUUACAAGCACCCGCCACCAUGCCCAGCUAAUUUUUGUAUUUUUAGCACAGACGGGGUUUCACCAUGUUGGCCAGGCUGGUUUCAAACUCCUGACCUCCAGUGAUCCGCUUACCUCAGCCUCCCAAAGUGCUGAGAUUACAGGCAUGAGCCACUGUGCCCAGCCUUAAAGUACUUUUUUGGAUGUUGACUUUUCUUUCUUAGGUGAUAUAAUGUAGUAGUAGUAAUCUCAAUUUGUGGGUGGAAAUAAAACACUUAGAUCAUUCUGGUUUAUGCAGAAUCUCAAAUUUACCCACAGCCAACCUGCCUCCUCUUUUGGAAAACAGGAGAAAAAAAUCCGAGAAAGGGAACGCUGAUUGAAAUAAACAAAGAGGGCCGGGCGCGGUGGCUCACGCCUGUAAUCCCAGCACUU
rnacentral:lncRNA from 1 species